CCCCAGUCACAGGAAUCUUUCUGGCCUCCGGAUUCCUAGUGCUCAUAUUGUAUAUAUCGUCCACAAGGUACUUAGGUACUGUUGUAUAUUGGUAUGUCCCAUAUGUGCAUGUCUUCUGUCCCCAACCAGAUUGUAAGCCCAUCUGUGUUUGCUCAGCCCUGUGUGUGCAACAGAGGUGCUGAAUGAAGACCUAUCGAUGAUUGAUUGAUACGUUAAAGAUUAUUUCCUCCUUCCUCAGAAUGCUACACUUCGCUCAUCAAUGGAGCUCAAGAUGUAAAAGUCUGGUUUAAGAGACAUUGAAUCUAUUCUGCCUUUUAUUAUCCCUUUCUUAUAAGUUGACUUUUAAGAAAUCAAUGACUGUGUGGAGAGUUCUAACUGGGUCCGUCUCCAGGCUUCUCCAUACUGCCGUGUGUCCCAUGAGGCUGGCCCAUCUGGACUGCACCAGGGAGCUCCCUUGAUCCUUGGCUUCCUGGUGGGUUUGGCCAAAGUGAAACACUGACAGGAAAGCAGAGGAUGAGAAUGAGGCCAGGGUGUCUGCUCCCCUGCUCCCUCUCUGCUGGGGCA
rnacentral:lncRNA from 1 species